rnacentral:rRNA from 1 species
UACGUAGGGGGCGAGCGUUGUCCGGAUUUAUUGGGCGUAAAGAGCGUGUAGGCGGUCCGGUAAGUCCGUUGUGAAAGUCAAGGGCUCAACCCUUGAAUGCCGGCGGAUACUGUCGGGCUAGAGUCCGGAAGAGGCGAGUGGAAUUCCCGGUGUAGCGGUGAAAUGCGCAGAUAUCGGGAGGAACACCUAUGGCGAAGGCAGCUCGCUGGGACGGCACUGACGCUGAGACGCGAAAGCGUGGGGAGCAAACAGG